rnacentral:rRNA from 1 species
UGGGGAAUAUUGCACAAUGGGCGCAAGCCUGAUGCAGCCAUGCCGCGUGUGUGAAGAAGGCCUUCGGGUUGUAAAGCACUUUCAGCGAGGAGGAAGGUGGUGAGCUUAAUACGCUCAUCAAUUGACGUUACUCGCAGAAGAAGCACCGGCUAACUCCGUGCCAGCAGCCGCGGUAAUACGGAGGGUGCAAGCGUUAAUCGGAAUUACUGGGCGUAAAGCGCACGCAGGCGGUUUGUUAAGUCAGAUGUGAAAUCCCCGGGCUCAACCUGGGAACUGCAUUUGAAACUGGUAAGCUAGAGUCUCGUAGAGGGGGGUAGAAUUCCAGGUGUAGCGGUGAAAUGCGUAGAGAUCUGGAGGAAUACCGGUGGCGAAGGCGGCCCCCUGGANGAAGACUGACGCUCAGGUGCG